rnacentral:rRNA from 1 species
GACGAACGCUGGCGGUGUGCUUAACACAUGCAAGUCGAACGGUAAGGCCCUUUCGGGGGUACACGAGUGGCGAACGGGUGAGUAACACGCGAGUAACCUGCCCUCAUCUCUGGGAUAACAGUCGGAAACGGUUGCUAAUACUGGAUAUGAGCUUGCAAGGCAUCUUGUGGGUUGGAAAGAUUUUUUUGGUUGGGGAUGGACUCGCGGCCUAUCAGCUUGUUGGUGAGGUAGUGGCUCACCAAGGCUUCGACGGGUAGCCGGCCUGAGAGGGCGACCGGCCACAUUGGGACUGAGAUACGGCCCAAACUCCUACGGGAGGCAGCAGUGGGGAAUAUUGCACAAUGGACGGAAGUCUGAUGCAGCAACGCCGCGUGCGGGAUGACGGCCUUCGGGUUGUAAACCGCUUUCAAUUGUGACGAAGCUUUUUGUGACGGUAGCAGUAGAAGAAGCACCGGCUAACUACGUG